CCUACGGGUGGCAGCAGUGAGGAAUAUUGGUCAAUGGACGCAAGUCUGAACCAGCCAUGCCGCGUGCAGGAUGACGGCUCUAUGAGUUGUAAACUGCUUUUGUACGAGGGUAAACCCCGAUACGUGUAUCGGGUUGAAAGUAUCGUACGAAUAAGGAUCGGCUAACUCCGUGCCAGCAGCCGCGUUAAUACGGAGGAGCCGAGCGUUAUCCGGAUUUAUUGGGUUUAAAGGGUGCGUAGGCGGGUUGAUAAGUUAGAGGUGAAAUGUCGGGGCUCAACCCCGAAACUGCCUCUAAUACUGUUGGACUAGAGAAUAGUUGCGGUAGGCGGAAUGUAUGGUGUAGCGGUGAAAGGCUUAGAGAUCAUACAGAACACCGAUUGCGAAGGCAGCUUACCAAACUAUAUCUGACGUUGAGGCACGAAAGCGUGGGUAGCAAACAGGAUUAGAUACCCCGGUAGUC
rnacentral:rRNA from 1 species